ACCUCCACAGAUCUUGAUUUUAGUAUUAUUGAGCCUCCUCCAAAGCGUCCUUAUUCCCUAAACAAGACAGUGCAACAACUACUGUACAGGUGCUUAGCAGCACGAGGUUAAAGCAGAUAAAACUGGAAAAUACACAGGAGGUCAAGGGGCAUCCAUGGAGGGAGAAACAGAGCCAGUCCUACGGGUCAACGACACUUCAUCAGAACUGCAGAAAUAAAAAAAAACUAAGUCUGUUUGAGUUACCAAAAGGGAUGAGAAUUGUGCAGACCAAAGCAGUCAAGAACAGUCCCUCUUCUCUACUGCCACCAGAGAUGAAGUGCAGGAGCCUGAAGGCCCCUCUUCUCAUUACUA